CCCGCUCAGAAACUUAAAGGAAGUUGACGGGGGCCCGCACAAGCGGUGGAGCAUGUGGUUUAAUUCGAUGAUACGCGAGGAACCUUACCUGGGCUCAAAUGUAUGUUGACGUAUUCUGAAAGGGAUACUUCUUCGGACAAUAUACAAGGUGCUGCAUGGUUGUCGUCAGCUCGUGCCGUGAGGUGUCGGGUUAAGUCCCAUAACGAGCGCAACCCCUAUCAUUAGUUGCCAUCAGGUCAAGCUGGGGACUCUAAUGAAACUGCCUACGCAAGUAGUGAGGAAGGUGGGGAUGACGUCAAAUCAGCACGGCCCUUACGUCCAGGGCUACACACGUGCUACAAUGGCCGGUACAAAGGGCAGCUACCUGGUGACAGGAUGCUAAUCUCAAAAGCCGGUCUCAGUUCGGAUCGGAGUCUGCAACCCGACUCCGUGAAGCUGGAAUCGCUAGUAACCGCAGAUCAGCUACGUUGCGGUGAAUACGUUCCCGGGCCUU
rnacentral:rRNA from 1 species